rnacentral:tRNA from 1 species
GGUCGUGGCUCAGUGAUAGAGCACUUGCCUGGCAUGCAUGAGGCACUGGGUUCAAUUCUCAGCACCA